GACGAACGCUGGCGGCGUGCUUAACACAUGCAAGUCGAACGGAAAGGCCCUGCUUGCAGGGUACUCGAGUGGCGAACGGGUGAGUAACACGUGGGUGAUCUGCCCUGCACUUCGGGAUAGGCCUGUGAAACUGGGUCUAAUACCUGAUAGGUGCCAUUUUUAGUGUGAUGGUUGGAAAGUUUUUUCGGUGUAGGCUGAGCUCGCGGCCUAUCAGCUUGUUGGUGGGGUAAUGGCCUACCAAGGCGGCGACGGGUAGCCGGCCUGAGAGGGCGAACGGCCACAUUGGGACUGAGAUACGGCCCAGAUUGCGACGGGAGGGAGCAGGGGGGAAGAUUGAACAAUGGGCGCAAGCCUGAUGCAGCGACGCCGCGUGGGGGAUGACGGCCUUCGGGUUGUAAACUCCUUUCGCUAGGGACGAAGCUUUUUGUGACGGUACCUAGAUAAGAAGCACCGGCUAACUACGUG
rnacentral:rRNA from 1 species